CAAGUACUCCUUCCGUCCGGAAUUACUUGUCAUCAAAAUGGAUGUGUCUAGAACUAAAAUACAUCUACAUACAUCCAUUUCAUUGACAAGUAUUUUCGGACGGAGGGAGUACAAG
rnacentral:pre_miRNA from 1 species